AUACGGAGGGUGCAAGCGUUGUUCGGAAUUAUUGGGCGUAAAGCGCGUGUAGGCGGUUUCUUAAGUCUGAUGUGAAAGCCCCGGGCUUAACCUGGGGGGUGCAUCUAAUACUGGGAGGCUAGAGUGCAGGAGAGGAAAGCGGAAUUCCUAGUGUAGCGGUGAAAUGCGUAGAUAUUAGGAGGAACACCGGUGGCGAAGGCGGCUACCUGGACCGAUACUGACGCUGAGACGCGAAAGCGUGGGGAGC
rnacentral:rRNA from 1 species